rnacentral:rRNA from 1 species
AGAGUUUGAUCAUGGCUCAGAUUGAACGCUGGCGGCAGGCCUAACACAUGCAAGUCGAACGGUAACAGGAAGCAGCUUGCUGCUUUGCUGACGAGUGGCGGACGGGUGAGUAAUGUCUGGGAAACUGCCUGAUGGAGGGGGAUAACUACUGGAAACGGUAGCUAAUACCGCAUAACGUCGCAAGACCAAAGAGGGGGACCUUCGGGCCUCUUGCCAUCGGAUGUGCCCAGAUGGGAUUAGCUUGUUGGUGGGGUAACGGCUCACCAAGGCGACGAUCCCUAGCUGGUCUGAGAGGAUGACCAGCCACACUGGAACUGAGACACGGUCCAGACUCCUACGGGAGGCAGCAGUGGGGAAUAUUGCACAAUGGGCGCAAGCCUGAUGCAGCCAUGCCGCGUGUAUGAAGAAGGCCUUCGGGUUGUAAAGUACUUUCAGCGGGGAGGAAGGGAGUAAAGUUAAUACCUUUACUCAUUGACGUUACCCGCAGAAGAAGCACCGGCUAACUCCGUGCCAGCAGCCGCGGUAAUACGGAGGGUGCAAGCGUUAAUCGGAAUUACUGGGCGUAAAGCGCACGCAGGCGGUUUGUUAAGUCAGAUGUGAAAUCCCCGGGCUCAACCUGGGAACUGCAUCUGAUACUGGCAAGCUUGAGUCUCGUAGAGGGGGGUAGAAUUCCAGGUGUAGCGGUGAAAUGCGUAGAGAUCUGGAGGAAUACCGGUGGCGAAGGCGGCCCCCUGGACGAAGACUGACGCUCAGGUGCGAAAGCGUGGGGAGCAAACAGGAUUAGAUACCCUGGUAGUCCACGCCGUAAACGAUGUCGACUUGGAGGUUGUGCCCUUGAGGCGUGGCUUCCGGAGCUAACGCGUUAAGUCGACCGCCUGGGGAGUACGGCCGCAAGGUUAAAACUCAAAUGAAUUGACGGGGGCCCGCACAAGCGGUGGAGCAUGUGGUUUAAUUCGAUGCAACGCGAAGAACCUUACCUGGUCUUGACAUCCACGGAAGUUUUCAGAGAUGAGAAUGUGCCUUCGGGAACCGUGAGACAGGUGCUGCAUGGCUGUCGUCAGCUCGUGUUGUGAAAUGUUGGGUUAAGUCCCGCAACGAGCGCAACCCUUAUCCUUUGUUGCCAGCGGUCCGGCCGGGAACUCAAAGGAGACUGCCAGUGAUAAACUGGAGGAAGGUGGGGAUGAUGUCAAGUCAUCAUGGCCCUUACGACCAGGGCUACACACGUGCUACAAUGGCGCAUACAAAGAGAAGCGACCUCGCGAGAGCAAGCGGACCUCAUAAAGUGCGUCGUAGUCCGGAUUGGAGUCUGCAACUCGACUCCAUGAAGUCGGAAUCGCUAGUAAUCGUGGAUCAGAAUGCCACGGUGAAUACGUUCCCGGGCCUUGUACACACCGCCCGUCACACCAUGGGAGUGGGUUGCGAAAGAAGUAGGUAGCUUAACCUUCGGGAGGGCGCUUACCACUUUGUGAUUCAUGACUGGGGUGAAGUCGUAACAAGGUAACCGUAGGGGAACCUGCGGUUGGAUCACCU